rnacentral:rRNA from 1 species
AUGGGGCGGCGCGCCAUGGAGGUUCGGGCAUGGCUGCAGGAGGUGGGAGGCGGGGCACUUGGGGCGCGGUGUUGCUGGACGACGCCGGGGACGAGGCGCAUGAGAGGAGAGGCGCUCGGGCCAGGCGCGGGUGCGAGGGCUGCUGCGGGAGGCGCUCAGGAUCGAGAGGGAGAGAGUGAGAUGGGGAUCGAGAAGCAGCGCUGCUCUCUCCCUGGUGCGAAGCGUGAGGCGGCGGGAGGAGGAAACGAGAGAGAGAAAGGGAUCCAACAGGGGAUGAGGCUAGGGUUCGGGAGGGAGUGGGCGUCGGGCCUAAGUGGCCUGCAGCUACAGGAGGCCCAAGAGGCUAGGCUGGGCUCCCUCUCUUAA